UAGGGACAGGGCAUAGGGAUACCAAUAACAGGCAGUACAGCCCCCCCGAACUCAUAGUAGUUACCACCCUGGGAAGAUCACAGGCAAGAAGCAGGUGCUGGAACCCAGAGGGGGCCGCCCAGCAGGCGCUGUGGCCUCCCGUGGAGCUACCAUGGAGACCUUACAGGAUGCGAGCAGGGCAGUAGAUCCCCUCCCCCGCCAAAAAACUUUCCUCUCAUCUGGCUGCGGCUCCCAUUGGCCAAACCCAAUGAGAAAGCAGGGGGCAGGGAAGCGAAUGAACUGGGGAGCAAAUGGAAGAUGCUCAGCACGUGAAGGCCAUGGUGAAAAGGCGCCCAAGGAGACAGAGGGAAAACAAAUGCCUGCGUCCCCCGAUGAAGCGUCCAGGUUCGAAUCGGGAGGUUAGCACCAGCCACACUUCUGACCAAGGAGGGGACUGCCCUUGGUUCCUAAUGGCCCAGGCUGCCACACUUCGUUCCCCAUUCCACAGCAGCCGCCUUCCUGAAAAGAGUUGUUAAGUCAUUUUGAAACAGAGAAGGAAACCAUGAAGGCCCAAGUCAGCCGGGACAUGAUCCCCGCAAUGGUUACCGGCGGCCCCCAAGUGAUGCCCUCGGACACGUGGAUUUCUGCCGUGGCAACUCUCCCUUUUCCCUGGAGUGAACGCCUCCGCCCGUUAGCAGGUCUGUGGAAAGUUCUGGGUGACUUCCAGCAGGAUCAUUUUUACAGAGUCUCUGCAGACAGCUCCCCACCAAGCCCAGCUUAGAAUCAGCAGCUCACUCUGCGUCAUGUCAUAGUUGCUGUGCCUGCCUUCCCCACAAGCUCAUAAGUGGUUGAAGGAAAGGAACCCUGCUUGGC
rnacentral:lncRNA from 10 species